rnacentral:lncRNA from 1 species
GAUUUGGUGGCUUUUGAUUUUACGUCUUUCUUCUUUCUUCUAGUUGGUCUUUAAUAUGAUUCCAGCUUAAUUAUGAUUGUUAUGUGAGAAACUUAUUUACAACAUAGAUGUUAUUUUGGUGGUAUUUCAAGUCAAUCUCGUAGUGUUAUAUGACUUAACUUUUGCAUAUACAAUUGUGAGUAGCAUGAGUUACUAGCACGGUGAUAUUCCCGUCUUAUAAGACGCAAACUGUCGUGAGUUACAUCGGAUACCGUCACAGUAGCAUCUUGCUAAUUGGUCUUUUUAAUAUGAUUCCAGCUUUGCCGUCACUUGCGAGAAAGGGAAGAGUGAGCUGCUCUAUGGAAGGAAAGAAGGAGAGCAACUCAAACAUGGCCAAGGGUGGAUCUUUGGCGGCAGCAGCUAUGGCGGCGACCAUGUCAAGCCCCGCUAUGGCUUUGGUGGACGACAGAUUGAGCACCGAGGGAACAGGGCUUCCGUUCGGAUUGAGCAACAACCUUCUUGGUUGGAUCCUCUUUGGGGUGUUUGGUCUCAUCUGGGCACUCUACUUUAUCUAUACUUCCUCCCUUGAAGAGGAUGAAGAGUCGGGACUGUCCCUCUAAGCCAAACACCAGUGUUCCUCAAAUGAUGGAGGAAUGUAAAGAUUUCUAGUUCAUGUUUUGUAGUGAAAGCUUCCCAUUUAUGGAUCAAACCCUUGUACUUGUGUUAUCAACUAUUUUUAAGUCAUCAUACGAGUCUCUUCCUUAUAUAUCAAUGCUUGAUUAAUUGAUUUUUUUUUAAUUCGUGAUAAACUGGACUCAAGUUUCAUACAAUUCUUAUUUUAUUUUUUAUUAAAUUGUCGAUUUACCCCCUGAAUUUUCACUUAACUUUCGAUUUCCUCCCUGAACUUUUCUAUUGGAAAAUUAAGGACUCAAACUAAUUUUUUUAGCCGAUUUGCCCCCUACCGUUAGUUUUUCAUAUAUUCCAUCCAUAUUUCUGUUGAAAGAGACCAUGUGCACAACAUGUGAGGGUAGUUAAGUCAUUUCACUAUUAAAAAUGAUUAAAAAAUUGAAAAUAAAUAAAAAAACAAAACUUUCCCUUUAUUUUUUCCCGCCAAUUCCUAUCCUCAAUUUUAUUUUUCCCCAUGAUAAAUGACAUAUGGUGUUAUUGUCUUCAUAAGUAGCUAAGUUAGUCUUUUUCUUGAAGCAUGUACUACCAUUUUUAUUUUCUCUAACAAAUUAAUAAUUUGACAAAUGCUCAUGGUGUUAUUAUCUCUAAAGCAAUGCAUUAAUAUAAGAAACAUGCUCAUAAUACUCAUAAAAAAUGCUCAAGAUGAUUACAAUCUUUCAUAAUGUCAUAAUAAUCCCAAUACAAUUCCACAAAAUGAUCCUUAAGAAGUUGGAAAACGUAAGAGAUUUUACCAUCCAUAAGGUAUAUAACCCAUAGAAUCUUGAUUACAAAAUAUGGGCAUUCCAACUGAUCAAACACAAGCAAAAUAAGGUUUUAGUUAUCAAAACAAGAGCACAAACAUUCUGCUCGAAACGCACAUGCCACGUGGAGAUCAACUACACUUUCCAUGACCUUCCUCGUUUGGUUUGUAUCUUGUACCUAAAUCUAUUUUCAUUUCUGAUGGUUGAGUAAGGUUGAGGGUGUUAUGUUUUCCAACUUCUUAAGGAUCAUUUUGUGGAAUUGUAUUGGGAUUAUUAUGACAUUAUGAAAAAUAUGUAAUUAUCUUGAGCAUUUUUUUUUUAGUAUUAUGAACAUGUUUCUUAUAUUAAUGCGCACUGUUUUGGAGACAAUAACACCAUGAGCAUUUGUCAAAUUAUUAAUUUGUUAGAGAAAAUAAAAAUGGUAGUACAUGCUUCAAGAAAAAGACUAACUUAGCUACUUAUGAAGACAAUAACAUCACAUUUCUCAUGCAUAGGAAUGAAGGGGAAAAAUAAAAUUGAGGAUAGGAAUUAGCGGGAAAAAAUAGAGGGAAAAUUUUGUUUUAUUUAUUUAUUUUCAGUUUUUAAAUCAUUUUUAAUAGUGAAAUGACUUAACUACCCUCACAUGUUGUGCACAUAUUCUCACUUAACAUAAAUAUGGAUGGAAUAUAUGAAAAACUAACGGUAGGGGGCAAAUCGGCUAAAAAAAUUAGUUUGAGUCCUUAAUUUUCCAAUAGAAAAGUUCACUGGGGAAAACGAAAACUAGAUGAACGUUCAGGGGGUAAAUCGACAGUUUACUCUUUAUUUUUAUUUUUUAAUUUGGAAUGCAAAAUGAUCAGAUUUAUUGAUAGUGAUCUAUUUGAAAGUGCUUUUCAAAUAACGAAAAGUAAUUUCAGACAACUAUAAGUGCUAACGUUAGUAUGUUACAGUUCAAUCUAUUUAGGGUGCGUUUGUUGCACCGGACUGUCUCGGACUGGACUAGCUUCAGGGACUAAGCUGGACUGGCUUAGACUAGACUAAACUGGACUAACUUAGUGAAGCGUUUGGUGCAGUGUCGGACUAAGAAGCAGGAUAAUGAAAACAGUACUGUCACCAGUUUGAUGUUUGCUCAGACUAGGACUACAUUAUUGUUCUAUUUUAAUUACUUUUUUAUUAAAGAUAUUAUUAAAAUUAAUAAUAUUUGAUGAGAGUGAGACUCAAUAAAAAUAUAGAUCAUGUAAAAGAGACCUUAAUCGGGCAUCAAAAUUUGAUACAACAGCUACUUUAACACCUGCUUUCCUCAGAGCUUCAACCACCUUCUCAGCAUCAGGAUCACAGAGAUGCCAAGCCUAUGAGAAAACAAAGAAAAAUAUUAUAACCCACUUCACACCUCUAUAUUGCUAUACAGAAAAUGGUACUUAAAUAUCACCCAACCUUGUCAGUCGUAUAGUAGUUAUAAAGUUCUUCAAAGCACCGAGAAUCGGAACAGCCAGUGGAAGAACUGACUAUAUAUUGCCAGAAGGGUCUCCCAUCAUUUACAUAUCUACAAUGAAAAAAGAGAAAAUGCUCACCUUAAAGAUAAAAGAGAAAAUCAGAGAAUUCACUCCAAACAUGGCAUAAUACUGCUAAACUUCUGCAUUAACUAAUUGAGAUUAAGGGGGACACUGAAAAGAAACAGAAAGAAAGGAUUCACUUCUACUUGACCAAUCCCAUUGAAAACACGAUGGCUAGACGGGAGAAAAUUCUACGCUAGACUUUAGGGGACUGUCAAUAUAUUUCCAAAAUACAAGGAACCACAAGACCAUUCCUACGUCUUCACAUUUCCUUAUCCAGUAGCCCUCCGCUCCCCCAUCACCACACUCGGGAGAUUUAUCUACUACAACUAGUAGUCGAUCCCAUGAUCUAUUAGGUAGAAAAUGCAAAAGGUUCAAGGUAGAACGAGAAUCGUUCGAUAACUUCCUCACUCCCUCCCACUGAAGCACAAAUUUAAUUGAAAGUCUGAAACAGUUCAAUCUUUGCCAUGUUCAACGGUCAAGCCAGAACGAGACGGGUGAUGAAAUCACAAAAACUUAUGUAUUCAUAUGGGCAGUAAGAAUGGAAACUUUGAGCCAUCAUAAGGGAUUAGAUCACAGUAAUCCUUUUCACUGUUCCAGUCCAUGUAAAUGGUUAUAACCUGGAUCUCAAAGCCCUUGCGCAAUUUCCCAACAUCAUCUGGCAGACUUACUACAAAUUCUAUCAACAAUCAAGAGCGAACCCUAAAUCAAACAUUUGUGUCAAGCCAUGGAUUAUAUGAGAUCCCAAACAAAAAGCUAAGAGCAUCUACUGCACCAAAAUCUGAUAAAUACUUUAAUCCACCCCCCCCCAACACACACAAAAAGUAGAAAUUCUCACUUCGGAUUACAAAGUAAUUGAACAGCAGAAACUGACAAAUAUGUGAAAGAAAGAAAUUUCGCAUCAAAAUUGACAGAACAUUGAAAGAAAGCAAGGAUUUUUAGCAAAAAAUUGAAUUAAUUCGAGAUGGGUUGAAAGAAUUACAGUGAAUUUUGUGACAGAGACGAAGCAGAAGAGCGACGGCGGCCAAGGCGUUCGUUUAGGGCAGGCGGGGAGCAAAGAAAAUUGAGAGGGUAACCUUGAGUAGAAGUUAGGCUGGACUGGGGAAAGAGAGCUUGUUCUUUGCCGUCGAUCGAGCAAGGCGAGGAGUCGAGUGAGAUGACGCGAGAGAGAGGUAGUCUUAGCAGUCCGCUCAGAUUUGGGGGUCUCGCUAGGACCACCUAACGAAGGAGUUAGUGAAAGCGAGUCCCACUUAAUACCAUUAAACUUAGUCCUGGUAGCCAACAAACAGAGGAUUACACUAAAAAUUAGUCCAGUCCAGUCCAGUCCAGGUUAGUGAAGCCAAACAAACGUGCCCUUAUGGGUUAAAAAAAUGCGUUAAGUGCUUUUCAGUGAAGCAUUUGCAUUUUUACAAAAAUUAUUAAUGUGCUUAUAAUAAAAGUGCUUUUAAAUAUAAGUGCUUUUAAAUAUAAGUGCUUUUUAUCUCAUGAAUAUGGGUGAUGAGUGAUCACCUUCACGUUAUUUGUUUCAUCCUUCUUUUUGUUUUGACUGCAUACUUAUAUUUAUGAUGGUUGUGGUCACAUUUAUAUCAUGGUCAUAUGAAAUAAAGAAUAGGAUGACCCGAAGACAUAUAUAUAUUUAGUUUCUUUAAAAGAACCAAAAAUAAAUGAAGUUAUGUGCUUAUAAUUUUAUUGUAAUAAUCCACAAAUACUUCGUUGCAAUUGCAAUAAAUUAGGGUAUUGGAAGAAACUAAUAUUGCCAUCAGUAUACCAUAACAUAUUCCGUAUGCGAGGGCACUUGAAGGUUUCAGGCGAGACAAUGUUGCAAUCUCAUCGUCUUCAUUUUCGUUCUUUUCCAUUGUUCCCUAUAUAUGUUCCAAUGGAGCUCUUAAAACAUGUUGAAUAUAGCUACAAUGCUUGACCAAGCUAUUGGUAUAUAUAAAAAUUAAGAAGAAAAAAAAAGGCAUUGUCAUUACGCGGAGUGAGUUCGGUUUUAAACGGUUCAGUUUUUUGUCAAAUAAAAAACCAAAUCGAAGUCAUUGUUCGGUUCAGUUUAGUUCAGUUUCUCUUUCAAUUUUUCUGAUUUAGUUUAACUUCAACCUGAUUUUAUCGAUUCCAUUCAGUUCGGUUUGCUUCACAAAUCAAGUAUUGGAGUCUUCUGAGUUGUUAACCUAUUGAUGAACAAAAAGGCAACAAACUUCAGUUUGUUGGAAAAUAUUAGUAUUUAGGUAUUAUUUUGUUUGAGUUUUCUUAUAAGUUUAAUUUGGGCCUAGCAUGUUAGCAUUAGGGUUAGAGUUAGUUUAUUAUAAAUAGAGUGCUUUGUUAUUCAUUAGAGUAAAAAUCAUUCACAAUGUAGUGUCUUAGGGUUUUGUAGUCAUUCCGGCAUUCUCGUUUGUUUAAUAAUAUUCCUAUUAUUUUGUUAGUCUUGUUCGUUGCGCACUCUAAUAUUCAACUAGGUAUCAAAGCAUGUUUGAUCCUUCGAGAUUUAAUCUGCCCUUGAUUCGUAUCAGUUUGUUUGUCCGUCUUGUUUGUUGUUUAGGUUGUCAUUGGUUUAGUUGAAAAAAAAAAUAUUCAGUUGGAAGUCUGAAGUCGGAGUAUUCAGUUGGAAGUCUAAAGUCGGAGUCGCGCCGAGCCACCAGCCGCUGUCCCUGCUGUUGCCCACCGUUGUGUUUGUUCCUGUUCCCUCUGCAAAGAUGAACCCACCAACCCGUAUUGCACCUGCAUCAGAUCUGCCACACCUGUUCAGUUAUACCAUACUCGCAUCGCAUCGUCUUGACGCUGUACCACUGCAAACUGCAACCUAGAUCCAUCCCCCCAUCGCACACCCGUCUGCCCGCUGCUCACGCCCAUAUCAGACCUGCUACGCACCACCACCAUCCUCACGAUCUGCGUCUCUUGCUGCUACAACCAAACUACAACCGCUGCUGCCUAUUUCUUCUGUUGCUGCUAAUUUUUCUUGCUGCCAAGUUGCAUCUGCUGUGCCUUGUUGAUCUGAUUAUUGGUAUGGUGUUUUUUGUUCGAUUAGUUAGGGACCAUGAAGUAAACGAAGAGAAAAUAAGGAGCAAGGAAAGGACAGGGAAAAAAAGGCAAAAAGAGAAAGGAAAGAAAAAAAAAAUUUGUUUGCUGUUGCUUUAGGCCCACACGGGCAAAGGGAAAAAAUGGUUAAGUUUGUUUUUAGGUACACACAUGGUGUUGGCUUGUUUAGAAUUGUUUUGUGACUGUUAUUCGAGUACUUGGAAUUGUGACUACUCAAGUGAUAGUAUUUGUAUUUGUUUGUUCGUUGCUACAAUUGAGAUAUGGAAAUCUCGUCCGUUUAGUGAUGGGUUAUUUCCAUACUCUCAACUCUAGCCAGUUUGCCAGUCAAGUCAAGUCAAGAAUCAAGUCAAGUCAAGUUUGCAUGCCUGCCAGUCCGCCUAACGGAGUCAUUCCGCAUCUGCUUGUUUGCAAACCCAUGUCGUAUACCGUCAUGAGUUUGACGGGGGUGUUGGAAAAUAUUAGUAUUUAGGUAUUAUUUUGUUUGAGUUUUCUUAUAAGUUUAGUUUGGGCCUAACCUAUUAGCAUUAGGGUUAGGGUUAAUUUAUUAUAAAGAGAGUGCUUUGUUAUUCAUUAGAAAACAAGCUAGUCACAAGUCUCUUAGGGUUUUGUAGUCAUUCCGGCGUUCUCGUUUGUUUAAUAAUAUUCCUAUUAUUUUGUUAGUCUUGUUCGUUGCACACUCUGAUAUUCAACUCAGUUAAGACAUGAAAAAACUCUGCAAACCAUAAUAUCAAAGACGCAAUAAAUGACAGUUUCGAAAAAGGAAAUAUAACUAAUCGUGAUCGUGAAUUUAGUAGUAGAAUGAUAAUUAGGGUUUUGCCAUAUAUGAAAGAUACCAUGAAAUAAUUAAACAGAGAACAAACCUCUAAAUCUUUGAAGUCUAAGAACACAAAAAUCUCAGUUUCGUACUUACACUAAACAUGGACCUUGCUAUUGAAUCAAUUCAGACACCUACUUAUUUAUACUUCGGAUAUACGUCUUUGGCGGUAUCCUAAUUUUAGCGUAUUGUCCUAUAUUUAAAUUUUCUUACAUACCAGUGCAUAAGGGAAUUGUUAUUGACAUCCAAACUUAUUAUAAUUAGAAAGAAUAAUAUACUUAUGAGGAGUGUAGAAUGAGAUUUUUUGGAGUGUUUAUAACAAUUCUCUUGCAUAAAGGGUUUAAUUGUCGUCUUAGGGAAGUUCUUGUCUUUAAUUGCCAUCUUAUGAGAUUUGGUGGCUUUUGAUUUUACAUGUUUUUCUUUUUUCUUCUAAUUGGUCUUUAAUAUAAUUCCAGCUUAAUUAUGAUUGUUUUGAGAAAAACUUAUUUACAAUGGAGAUGUUAUUUUGGUGGUCAUUCCAGUCAAUCUCAUAGUGUUAUAUGAUUUAACUUUCCCACGUACCAUCGUAAGUAGCACGAGAUACCAUCACAGUGACAUCUCCAUCUUAUUAGACUUAUCCUUUCUAGCGAACUGUCUUGUACAUUGGAUACUGUCCCAGCGGCAUCAUUGGCUUAUGAGACUAUUAGGCUUUUGAUUUUACAUUUCCUCUUUUUCCAAAAAUGUGAUUCCGCCUUUGCCGUCACUUGCAAGAAAGGGAAGAGUGAGCUGCUCUAUGGAAGGAAAAAAGGAGAGCAACUCAAACAUGGCCAAGGGUGCAUCUUUGGCGUGGCAGCCAUGGCGGUGUUGCUUUGGUGGACGAGAGAUUGAGCACAGAGGGGAUAGGGCAUUCGUUCGGAUUGAGCAACAAACUUCUUGGUUGGAUCCCCUUUGGGGUGUUUGGUCUCCUCUGGACAUUCUACUUUAUCUAUACUUCCUCCCUUGAAGAGGAUGAAGAGUCGGGACUGUCCCUCUAAAGCCAAACACCAGUGUUCCUCAAAUGAUGGAGGAAUGUAAAGAUUUCUAGUUCAUUUUCUGUAGUAAAAGCUUCCCAUUUAUGGAUCAAACCUUUGUACUUGUGGUAUCAACUAUUGUUUUAAGUCAUCAUCUGAGUCUCUUCCUUAAACAUAUAUGCUUGAUUACUUGAUGUUUUUAUUAAAUCAUGAUAAACUGAACUCAAGUUUUCAUACUUCUUUUCUUUUUAUUUUUUUUAAUUUGGAAUGCAAUAUGAUUAGAUUUAUCGAUGACGUACUUGAAAGUAUUUUUAAAAUAACUAAAAGUGGUGAUGUUACAAUAUUUGUGAGUUAAAAAAAGCAUAUUAAGUGCUUUUCAAUGAAGCAUUUACAUUUUUAUUAAAAUUAUUAUUGUGCUUCUAAUAAAAGUACUGUUAAAUAUAAGUGUAUUUUAAAACAGAAAGGGAUACUCUCUGGAUCCCUUCAUCCUAAUCCACAAAAUCAGGAGAUCCGGACCAUUGAAAUUUGAUUCAACGGCUGAAGUUAUUACAACCUUUAAAGUUGACCUCUGUUGUAGCCGUUAGAUCAAAUUUCAAUGACACGGAUUCCUUGAUUUUGUGGAUUAGGAGGAAGGGAUCCGAAGAGGAUCCCUUUCCUUUUAAAAGAAAUAUUUUUGGCUUUUUAGCUAAAAUUGUUCAUGAGAUUGACAUAACUCCUCACUUUGGUCUCUGAGAUUUAAAAACCGAUAUAAGUGGUCUCUGAAUUUGUCAACCGUCAAAUCAUUUUGGUCAUUUCGUAAAAAUCUCGUUAAAUAAGACCAAAAUGACAAAAAUACCCUCAAAAUUUAUAUAUUUGUUUUGACAUGUUAUUUAUUAAAUUAAGAAUAUUUUUUUAUCUUUUUUUGUCCUUAUUUAAUAGAGAUUUUGUAUGGAAUGACCAAAAUGAUUGAUUGCGUACAAAUUCAGGUAUCAUUUCUAUUGAUUUCAAAUCUCAAGUACCAAAAUGAAGAGUUAUGUCAAUCUUAAAAACCAUUUUCAAACCGGUUUGCAUCCUUUUAUUUAUUAUGUAGCAAGAGAUGAUAAACCUACCAGAUUACAACUAAAAACGGAAUUGAGUGUGAAGAAUAUUCUAUGCAUUUUUAUUUGAUUAACAUAUUAAAUAAUUUAAAAAAAAAGUGUAUUGCAGGUGCAUAUCUGUUAAUCUUUUGGCUUUUGCGGUCAAUGAAGGUAUAGUAGCAUGAAUUUGGGAAUGAGUCAUCACCUUCACAUUAUUUGUUUCAUCGAUCUAUUUUGCGUGACUUGCUCUACUAAACUAAUGUAAAAUAAUUAAGGAUAUUCGUUUUGAAUACGUGAUUAUUUGUAUGAUGGUUGUGGUCACGUUUCCAUGAUGGUCAUAUAAAAGAAAGAAUAGGAUGAUCCUCCUGAGACAUAUAUUUAGUUUCUUUCAAAUAACCAAAAAU